ACCCACCCUCCAUCCACCCAUCCCUCAUCCAUCCAUCCAUCCAUCCAUCCAUCCAUCCAUCCAAUAAACCUUUAUUGAGUAGAUCCUUGCUUAGCUCUGGGGAUACAGGAAAAAAUGAGGCGCCUUCUCUGUGCUCAUUGAGUUCACAGUCUAGUGGGAAAGACAGCCAUAUAAGCCACAAAUCAGCACUUUCCUUAACCCCGUUUUCAGACAGUUCUACCUUUGGCAGCAACAGUUUCCACAGAGCACGGAUUAUGGGACUUCAAGUUCAGUUCACCUUUAUGAAACAUCUACUAUGGGCAAGAUGUGCAGAUACAGUGAUGGACAAGACACCAUUUCUAUCCUCAAGAAGGUCACAGUCAAGGGGGAGAAGGACACACAAACAGGGCAAAGAGAAACCUGUUAGAUGAAGAGGACAGAAGGGCAUGCCAGGCAGAAGGAAGCAUGGCUUGUUGGAGGACCCGGAAGCGGGUAUUAUUGGGGCUUAAGGA